GGGUUCCACGGCCGAGGGUGGAUUCGAACCAUGGUCUCCAAAGUUGUAACCCAAUGCUCAAACCACUACACCGCAUUGGCUACUUUUCUCUUGCAUUAUUUUCUUUGAUGACCCAACUUCCCAGUCUGGAUUGUAAAUCUGCUAAGUAUAAUCUUGUCAAGAAUCUGUGGGUUUGUAGUCAAUGUUUUCAAUAUAUCGUGAUAUUUUGGUGCUAAAAUCAUAAAUACAAUAAUUACAACAUAACAUUACUGUGUGUUGAACUACUUUUUCUAUCAAAUUUGUUGUAAAACAUGAUGUUUGGGUGCUUAAUUUGUAAAAUCAUAACCUAAUUUGAUGUUUAAUAGGCUUUUCCUUAAUCCCUCCUUAUUAUCCAAGAUAUUCGCUUAGCCAAGCUUCUGCUGGCCAUUUAGCUUGGAUAAGUGAGACUCUACUGUAUUUAUUUAUUUACUGUACUUAUACCACACCCUUCUCACCUCCCCCUUCCCCUGUAGGGGGACUCAGGGCGGUAUACAGAUUAUUUAUUUAUUUGCAGUACAGUAGAGUCUCACUUAUCCAACACUCACUUAUCCAACGUUCCGGAUUAUCCAACGCUUUUUUGUAGUCAAUGUUUUCAAUACAUCGUGAUAUUUUAGUGCCCAAGUUCAUAAAUACAGUAAUUUCUACAUAGCAUUACUGUGUAUUGAAUUACUUUUUCUGUCAAAUUUGUGGUAUAACAUGAUGUUUUGGUGCUUUAUUUGUAAAAGCAUACUCUAAUUUGAUGUUUAAUAGGCUUUUCCUUAAUCCCUCCUUAUUAUCCAACAUAUUCGCUUAUCCAACAUUCUGCCAGCCCGUUUAUGUUGGAUAAGUGAGACUCUACUGUAUUUAUAUUCCGCCCUUCUCACCCCGAAGGGGACUCAGGGCGGAUCACAUUACACAUAUAAGGCAAACAUUCAAUGCCUUGACAUAGAACAAAGACAGAAGACAAACGCAGGCUCCCAGCUGGCCUCGAACUCAUGACCUCUUGGUCAGAGUGAUUGGUCUCAGCUGGCUGCUCACCAGCUUGCGCCACAGCCCCAGCCUAUAAUUCAAUGCCAGAUUCAGACAAUAACAGUAACAGUGAAACACAAUAUUAUAAAACUAUAAACAUACACAUAUCAGUUAUAAAUAAUCUUUCAAAUGAUUUAAAAACAUAUCAACUUAUCAGAAGUCUA
rnacentral:lncRNA from 1 species